AGAGUUUGAUCCUGGUUCAGGAUGAACGCUAGCGGCAGGCUUAACACAUGCAAGUCGAGGGGCAGCAUGUCCAGCAAUGGAUGAUGGCGACCGGCGGAAAGGGUGCGUAACGCGUGAGCAACAUGCCCUAUACAGGGAGACACACCAGGGAAACUUGGUCUAAUAUCCCAUAGCAUUCAUUGAAGGCAUCUUUAAUGAAUUAAAGCUUCGGUGGUAUAGGAUUGGCUCGCGUGACAUUAGCCAGAUGGUGAGGUAACGGCUCACCAUAGCAAUGAUGUCUAGGGGUUUUGAGAGGAAGGCCCCCCACACUGGGACUGAGACACGGCCCAGACUCCUACGGGAGGCAGCAGUGAGGAAUAUUGGACAAUGGAUGGAAAUCUGAUCCAGCCAUGCCGCGUGCAGGAAGACGGCCUUAUGGGUUGUAAACUGCUUUUAUACGGGAGCAAUAAGGGUUACGAGUAAUCCGAUGAGAGUACUGUAUGAAUAAGGAUCGGCUAACUCCGUGCCAGCAGCCGCGGUAAUACGGAGGAUCCGAGCGUUAUCCGGAAUUAUUGGGUUUAAAGGGUGCGUAGGCGGCCAUUUAAGUCAGCGGUGAAAUUUUGCAGCUUAACUGUAACAGUGCCGUUGAUACUGUUUGGCUAGGAUUUGGUUGUAGUGUGCGGAAUGUGUGGUGUAGCGGUGAAAUGCUUAGAUAUCACACAGAACACCGAUUGCGAAGGCAGCACACUAAGUCAUUAUUGACGCUGAGGCACGAAAGUGUGGGGAUCAAACAGGAUUAGAUACCCUGGUAGUCCACACUGUAAACGAUGAUAACUCGCUGUCGGCGAUACACAGUCGGGGCCAAGCGAAAGC
rnacentral:rRNA from 1 species